rnacentral:tRNA from 1 species
AACAAUAAGCCUGAGUGGUUUAAUGCGAUUGGCUUGAAACCAGCAUAUCGAAGGUUCGAUUCCUUCCUUUCUUG